rnacentral:rRNA from 1 species
AUACGUAGGGUGCAAGCGUUAAUCGGAAUUACUGGGCGUAAAGCGUGCGCAGGCGGUUCGGAAAGAAAGAUGUGAAAUCCCAGAGCUUAACUUUGGAAUGGCAUUUUUAACUACCGGGCUAGAGUAUGUCAGAGGGGGGUAGAAUUCCACGUGUAGCAGUGAAAUGCGUAGAGAUGUGGAGGAAUACCGAUGGCGAAGGCAGCCCCCUGGGAUAAUACUGACGCUCAUGCACGAAAGCGUGGGGAGCAAACAGGAUUAGAUACCCUGGUAGUCCACGCCCUAAACGAUGUCAACUAGCUGUUGGGGCCUUCGGGCCUUAGUAGCGCAGCUAACGCGUGAAGUUGACCGCCUGGGGAGUACGGUCGCAAGAUUAAAACUCAAAGGAAUUGACGGGG